rnacentral:sRNA from 1 species
ACAACCAUGGCCAUCCUCCUGCAUGAGAUCCCCCAUGAGGUGGGCGACUUUGCCAUCCUGCUCCGGGCCGGCUUUGACCGAUGGAGCGCAGCCAAGCUGCAACUCUCAACAGCGCUGGGGGGCCUACUGGGUGCCGGCUUCGCCAUCUGUACCCAGUCCCCCAAGGGAGUAGAGGAGACGGCAGCCUGGGUCCUGCCCUUCACCUCUGGCGGCUUUCUCUACAUCGCCUUGGUGAACGUGCUCCCUGACCUCUUGGAAGAAGAGGACCCGUGGUGAGUGACCUGUUGGAGGAAGAGGACUGCCACUCACAGGACCCUUAGGGGCUCAGGAGGGAAGGGCUCCUGGCCGCUGCCUGCUCCCCCUGCCCAUGCCUCCACCGUGAGCCGUUCCCUCCCCACAGGCGCUCCCUGCAGCAGCUGCUUCUGCUCUGUGCGGGCAUCGUGGUAAUGGUGCUGUUCUCGCUCUUCGUGGAUUAACUUUCCCUGAUGCCGACGCCCCUGCCCCCUGCAGCAAUAAGAUGCUCGGAUUC